CCACGGAGUGCUGCCGCUACCAACACUCUUAGUGAGCAACGGACUACAUAUUGGUGAUGAUCAGACUUUCGGUCUCGCUUAAAAAUUUGUUUUUAUUUCGUGAAUCUGUGAAUGGAAGUUAUUAUUUUGUAAUAUUUACAAUACUAUUGCUUAUGAUUAUUCUACACUUAGUAUCAAUGUAAAAAAUUGUGAUUUUUCAAAACAUUCUAGAAAGUUGUAGUUAGUUUCUUUAUUGCAGUCUUUAGAAAGACUCGUGUUUUUUUUCCAUGUUUACAUGAACACGAAUAGUGAAAAAUAAGUUUUGAUUUUUUCCGUUUCACCUUGAUAUUUAGUAUGGACUUGGAAGCUUGGUAACAAUAAAAAUAUGUUUUUGAAUUGUAUAUGACCAAAGGCACUUUGAAAUAUUUGCAGGCGUAUUUGGGGGGUUGGACCUUGACUUCCGGGGGCGGUGACUCCCUGCUGUUGCUGCGCCUGUUCCACGUGACAGGCGCGAGCGCGUACUUGGUGCGCAGCGUGUGCACGCGAGUUCAGAAGAAAGAAAAUAACAAAAAGUAUUGAGAAAAGAAAAAAGUGCGAUGUGCGUGUUUUUUACUUAUCACCUUGAUACAUUUUGAAUCGCACGCGAUAAUGAAAAUUCACUGAUUUUGUAUUGGAAUAUUUUUGCGUGUAUUUUAAAAAAUACACUUUAACCACACGCCGUGGGAAUAAAUAGAAAUAAUAUAAUAUUCUUUAUUUUCGACUGCUGAUUGUGGCUUAGCAGUUGUUACAAUCGUGAGAACAACGAAUAAUGCAGACAAGACACAAAAGUUCCAAAAUUUCGUAUUGACAGAUUUGAGAUCCUCACGAAGGUUAUCGACUUGAGCCAUAAAAAUGCUGGAGAAAAAAGUUUUUCAUGUAUCAAAACAACGGUGGAAACUUUCAUUCAAGUAAAAGAAAGUAGUGCAAAAAUUUUUGAAUAUUUAUAACAAUUUCAUUUGACAUAAAGUGAUAUUAUAUAACUAUAGUGAUUAGACAAUUAAAUAUUUAAUAAUGAGUAGUGAAAACGAAAUUUCAUCAUUUCCUAAUGAUGUCAAUUCUUCUGGAAAUGGAAACACAGGAGUGAAUUCAAGAACACCUCCAAAUUGCGCGCGUUGCCGCAAUCACCAAUUGAAAAUUGCUCUCAAGGGGCACAAAAGAUACUGUAAGUAUCGAAAUUGCACUUGUAAGAAGUGUAUUCUUACCAAGGAUCGUCAAAGGGUUAUGGCUUUACAAACAGCUAUCAGGAGAGCUGACGACCAGGACACCACAAGAGUUCGCAGACCGGAAGAGCAGGUGGAACCUCGGCCAUUGGCCUUGGACCGAAAACGAUUGAUUUCGGUCCGUCAAUCCGUGAGGAGUCUAGAGGGUAGUCGUGACAGCAGCAGUGGAGAUUCGCCUAUAAGUAAUUACGGUAGUACUGGUGUCCACAUCGUUAGUGUUCCAACUUUACAGAAGCUAUCAUCUCCCCUCGACAAUCAUUCAUCCUCGGCUACGCAAUUACUUGAACCGAGGAGUUAUGAAAGUGUCGAGGUGCUACUGGAAUGUAGUACAAAACUAUUGGAGCGAUUUUGGUUUUCGUGGGAGAUGUUGCCAUUGGUGUAUAUAAUAUUAAAAGAUGCAGGAGCAGACAUGGAAGAGGCAUCGAGGCGUAUUAUGGAAGCUCUGGCCAAACUUCUUCUCAAGAUAUUCUGGCUGUCAAAGAGUGUAUUUUAUCAAAUUGAAGAUUUUAAUUCUGACAUUAAUAUUUUUUUUAUAACAUGAAAUUUUAGUAUUCUGCUAUUUUGAUUAAUGGGUAUUAUAACUUUUGAUAUUUCUAACUUGAUCUGAUCAUGAAAAUAAUUGACCCAAGUAUCAGAACCAUUGAUUGAAACCAAUGGAUAGCUCCAAUGAAGAUCCAAUGUGCUUCCUGAAGAUGAUGUCAACUUUGAAGAUAUUUCGUGGUUACAAAUUAUUUCUAUUUAAUUUUACUACUGGUUAAUUUAAAUGAUUUAAAUUAUAUUUAAAAAAUUAUUUCAAAAUAAUUUGAUUGACUAUUAAAUGAGUACUUGAAUAAAGUAAAAUAAUUAGUCAAAAUACGGCAAUGAAGAUUCUUAAAGUUUUCUCUGGCAAAUAUUGGAUAUUAAGCCAAUGAUGAAAUACGAGCAAUGGCCGUUUGGAAGGCAAGGAGGAUGAUUCAAAAUACAGGAAUGUAUCCAUAUGAUUGUUACAAUGUUACGGGAAAUAUUGGAGCAUCAACUCAUUUUGGUUUUCCACCUUACAUUG
rnacentral:misc_RNA from 1 species